GCAAAGAUGUGUCUUAUAGUUUAUACUCCCACCCCAUGUGAACAUACCUAACGUUGCCUCGGCGGGUCGUACCUACCUUGUAAUGCACUUACCUGUAAGUGCCUACCCGGUAGGCACGGGUAAGCCCGCCGGCGCCCCACGAAACUCUGUUUAAUUACUGGAUAUCUGAAUUAUAACUAAAUAAGUUAAAACUUUCAACAACGGAUCUCUUGGUUCUGGCAUCGAUGAAGAACGCAGCGAAAUGCGAUAAGUAAUGUGAAUUGCAAAAUUCAGUGAAUCAUCGAAUCUUUGAACGCACAUUGCGCCCAUUAGUAUUCUAGUGGGCAUGCCUGUUCGAGCGUCAUUUCAACCCUUAAGCCUUCUGUUGCUUAGCGUUGGGGGCAUACCGUAUGGCGGUAGCCCCUUAAAAUUAAUGGCGGAGUCGGUUCACACUCUAGACGUAGUAAAUAUUAUCUCGCCUAUUAAUUGGACCGGUCCCCUGCCGUAAAACCCCUUAAUUUUUCAAGGUUGACCUCGGAUCAGGUAGGAAUACCCGCUGAACUUAAGCAUAUCAAUAAGCGGAGGAAAA
rnacentral:rRNA from 1 species